GGUGGCGGCAGUCCACCUAUAAGCUGCUUGAAGUCCUCCCCGCCACAAGGAGGCAAUGAAGGCGAACAGGUCGGAUGUAAUGGCGCAAGCCGGUCCCGCAGUUUGACUAUAACAGGCACAAUCAAGGUCGUUGCAACAGAGCUGAGGAGACUGCCGCCAUGCUGACCAAUAGCAAUGAGGGUGCAGGGUCACAUGAUCAACCAGCAACAGACUGUGCUGCUCUUGGAGAUGGUGUUUGCCCUCCUGAACAGCAGGAGGCUGUAGAACGUCACGAUGCCAACACAACUUCCCAGCUCAAGAGCGCGUGUUCCCUGGAGGUGACCAUCCAGCAGUACGGCGACAGUCGCGAGUUCAAGAUGGCCGGGGAGAAGCGGGCGGCACCAGGGUCGGGGCUUCAUUGCCACAUGUGCGGAGUCACAUGUCACUCCAUGGAGAUGUUUGUCGAACACAUGGGCGGCUCAGAUCACAUGGCCAAAUGGAAGGAGAUCACACACUCCGUCAGCAUCAUCACACACACAAUCACAAACAGCAGAAGGCGCCGCUGGUGUGACACGUGUCAGAGUCACUUUAGCGAUGAUGUCAUCAGCCAUCGUCGAACUAAACAACACAAAGAGCGCAAGCGUGCGUCGCGGCCGUUCUGCGCGGCGUGCCGCCGUCACUUGAAGACUCCCCGGAAAUUUGUGGAGCACAUGAAGUCCGACAAGCACAAGCGAGAGGUCAGAGGUCGUCCGUCUGUCUGUCUGUCCGGUCGCCUGCGUGACGCCCGCGCGACCAGUGAGUGUGCGCCUAUUUUGGCAGGUAUGCGUGAAGAAGGCUCAGGAGGAGGAGCUCAUCACCGUGGAUGCCAUUGGCUGCUUUGAGGAGGAGGCGGAGCCAAAGCAAGAAGUGGAAUUAGGACCGGAGGAAGAGAAGGCAGCCGCUUGACAGGCGUCCCUGUGCGCACGAGUGACGUGUGAGUGACGGGCGGACUCCUCCCGUCCAGGACGCCCCGCGUGGCCGAUCAAGCGCCCCUUCCCUGGCUAACCUGCAAUUAGCAGCAAUUAGCGCACGGCGCUACCAUGACGACAAUCAGCAAGUGGAAGAGGAAGACUUCCUGUUUGCCGUCAUCACUUCCGGUGUGAGCAACAAGUCACUUAUCCUGCGGCAGCCUGCUGCUCCAAAGCAUACCACAUCAUGCGCAUAGGUACAUGAAGAGCAAAUGUGUUAUUGCCGAUUAGCUGGUCGCACGCACGCAGGGCUGGUGGACGGCCGGCCCGGUGGGCGGUUGCAGCUAAUGCAGCAAGUAGGGUGUGUGUGUGUCAAUCACGGUGGGGCGGCGAAGUACUGCUGAGCUCAAUUGCCCUCGCUCGCCUGCCUGUCUGUCAAACGUGUCUUGUUUGUAUUUUUUAAGUAGCAGACAUGAGCUUAGUGCGCUCAUGAGCCGCCGCAGACCUGUACGUACGUUACGAAUUCUCCGUAUUUUGUGAGGGAAAUCACUGAAUGCUAACUCGUUAAGGCCGUCGUACUGAUUGUUACGGACUUUUUCAAAAAUCACAGGUUAUAUAAUUGCACAAAAGGGUUGAAAAGGAGAAAAAGAAUUAGUUCAUCCAUAAAUGCCAUUUGUGUUUGACGACAAGCCAAUGGCAGACGCGGCGUCGUUCCGCUGGUCGCCUCCAGUGACGUGGAGCUCUUUGCCGCGGAAGCUAGCAGACGACGUUAGCCGAAAGCUAACAAUUUGAGGCUAACCUGUUUCGCUGCGACCCUUAGUGAAUUCAUAUCAGCGGCGAGCAACGAGGGCAGCGACACGAUGUAGAGCUUCGUCGCCAGAUUAUUGUUCACUACUGCUCAGAAAACUAGUGUGUGUGUGUUUGUGUGCGCGUGCGCGCGCGCUACACUAGGGGGUUCAAAAGUAGGUACAGUAUACUGUAGUAUCUUUUUUUUAAUCCUUUUUGGGAUGGUUGAAUUUUUAAAAAAUGUUUUCUUUUUUUCGACAAUCAUAAAAAAAAAAGACAAAAUAUACUGCAGUAUUCCUAAUUUUGCACCCAGUAAUACACUGUACUUGUACUGUAUAUUGAUAUAUGUAUACUGUGUAUGUAUGUAUACAUGCAUAUGAAGAUGUUCACGAUGUUUUUGUGAAAAGAAAACAUUUAUUUUGAAUUCGUAUGAGACGCUCGGUCGUUUACGAUGUCCUCGUCAGAGUUUAUGUGUUUGAAGUCAUUAAAAAAUAGAAUCUAGUUUGCAUUCAAAUCAAAUCUUUUCACCCGCCCCAUUAUCAUUCAUUUAGAGACUUGAGUUCUUUGUUUUUGAUUUCUUUGGCCGGCCGUGAAGAACUUUUUUUCAAUCCGAGCCUGCAAAUUGACUUCAUUAAACGGCGUGCUAAUGAA